rnacentral:rRNA from 1 species
GUCGGUGCUUCAAGCGGCGUGGCACCACCUCUUCCCAUUCCGAACAGAGAAGUGAAAAACGCCAGCGCCGAUGAUAUUUUCGUUCGCGAAGAAAAAGUAGGCCAGUGCCGACA